UUUAUAUUCUUUUUUUUUAUAGAAAUUUUUUUUUUAUUUAAGUUGGUUCCAGUUGAUUCGGUUAUACUAACAUAUUUAUUUUUUUUUUUUUAUUUUAAUUUAAUUUAAAUAUUUUUUAAAAUUCUUAUUAAAAUUUUACUUUAAUUUUUUUUUUUUUUGCAUGGUUUUUUAAAAUUUUAUGAUUUUUUUUUUUUUGAUAAGAAUAUGAUUUUAUGAAAUUUUUUUAUUUUUUUUUUUAUAUUUUUUAUUUAUUGUCCUAUAAAUAUUUUUUUAAGUAGUAUUAAGGAAUAAAAGAAAAAUUUCUUUUAUAUUUUAUGUAAUAUAUUUAUUUUUUGUUUUAUAUUUUUUUUUUCUA
rnacentral:rRNA from 1 species